CGAGAAAGCCCGCAAGGGUGAGUAAAGCGGCGCACGGGUGCGUAACACGUGGGUAAUCAUCCUUGGAGCCCGGAAUAACUCCCCGAAAGGGGUGCUAAUACCGGAUGAGACCACGGGAUCUUCGGAUCCUGAGGGAAAAGGCGGCCUCUGUACACAAGCUGUCACUCCAAGAUGAGCCCGCGGCCCAUCAGCUUGUUGGCGGGGUAAUGGCCCACCAAGGCUACGACGGGUAGCUGGUCUGAGAGGACGAUCAGCCACACUGGAACUGAGACACGGUCCAGACUCCUACGGGAGGCAGCAGUGGGGAAUCUUGCGCAAUGGGCGAAAGCCUGACGCAGCAACGCCGCGUGUGUGAUGAAGGUCUUCGGAUCGUAAAGCACUGUCGCGAGGGACG
rnacentral:rRNA from 1 species